UACGGAGGGGGCUAGCGUUGUUCGGAAUUACUGGGCGUAAAGCGCACGUAGGCGGCUUUGUAAGUUAGAGGUGAAAGCCCAGAGCUCAACUCUGGAACUGCCUUUAAGACUGCAUCGCUUGAAUCAUGGAGAGGUUAGUGGAAUUCCGAGUGUAGAGGUGAAAUUCGUAGAUAUUCGGAAGAACACCAGUGGCGAAGGCGACUAACUGGACAUGUAUUGACGCUGAGGUGCGAAAGCGGUGGGGAGCAAACAGG
rnacentral:rRNA from 1 species